UGAAGACACCAUCUAUGAGUGGUAGUGAAAAGUGGGAGAUGUGUCCAAGUGGGAGUAGUAGUGUGUUUGUGGACACAUCUUCAAUUCCAACAAACAAACAAGAAGAUGAAGAAGAGCAUUCUCAAAGUGAAGAAGAAGAGGAAGUUGCCAUGAUAGAAGAGCCCAAUACUAUGAAGACUUCAAUUCUAGCAAGAUACAACAAAGACAAUGAAGAGAAUGAAGAUGAAGAAUACCAACAAAUGAGUAAGAGAAAGCACUCCAUGAGUCAUACAAGGCAGCAAGAGGUGCAAGAAGGCUCAUCUUCUUUG
rnacentral:lncRNA from 1 species